GGGAUUUUUUUUCCCCGGGCGCACUACGCCUCUGCAUCCAAUGCUUUAUAGAUCUAGUAUUUGUGUGUGCACUUUAUCGCACUGUAGAAUGAGAUUAAAAUUCAAAUGUAAACAAAGAGCAGAUUACUGUGAUUAUCUUUUACUAACUUUUAUUGUGAAAACCUCCAACUGUGUGUAAAAUCGAGUGAGAGGCGUCUAUGAUUACUUCAUUUAAAUAAAACUCAGAGUGAACUAUUAAAAAUUGUGUUUCCAUCUUUCUCUGUAUACAAACUUAUUGUAAACUGUACGUUAUAUGAUACUUGGGAAAACUGGCAACAUUACCCAUGAUGUAUCCGCCUCAAACCAUAUACCAACCUAUUGUAAUGGGCUACCCGUCUGGUCAUAUAGUGGCUUGCCCGGUACAGAGCUGUGAUUUGGAAGUAGCUUCUGGAACAUCAUACCCAUGGAGGUCUGUUCUCUGGUUUUUAACUCUUGUCUUCGUGGGCUGGCCAUUGUCCGUGGUCUUCAGCGCCUUGUACAUCGUUUUGAGUCCAUUUGGCCCCUGCUGCAACUGUGUAAGAAUCAUCACAGACGCCUUGUUGUUCGGUGUUACUCUCCCUUGUAUCUGUAGUGAGAACAUGAUACUACAGAGCAGAUACUGCUGACCUCUCUUCUGUAGGACCACCUGACGCAUCGCUAGAAUAUUAAUACUAGAAUCUUGACUUCAUUCAUAAAUGUCGAAUGACUGUGUUCUCAUUGGAAGCUGUACCUAGUUUAACACCAUAAAGAGGUUACUUGACGGUUGAAACACUUGAAAUAAUGUAGAAUAUAAUAUAAAGGACCACCUAUGAACAUCUUCAUACUAUUAGCGAUGUUUUGUUAAAGUCUUACGCUUCAACUUCUUGAAGGUAGAAUAUCCAAUUAUUAUACAUUGCCAUUAGUUGCUACCAUUGAAAACAAUUAUGUAGAGCCCAAACACUCAGAAUUUCUUAUUUUUUGGCAUUAUAGGCUGCCUGUUGGGAUGUGUACUAUGUAUAUAAAUAAAUGAAUAGAUGUGCAUAUUAAAUAUUGGGCUACUAAUCUCUAGCUGCGAGAAAAAUGUAAGUUAAUCACCUCGGGAAAACCUGAUUUUGUACUAGAGAUCAUGAUUUUUUUUUAUGGAAUAAAAUAAAAACUAAAAAUUAUCUCCGUAUCUGUAGAAUCAGUGACAUCCGUUUUAAUAAAACAAAAAAAAGUUAAAUGUAAUUCAGAAUAUAGAACAAUCUUCAUUUUCGACACUCCCUUACUCCACAAUUCAUUUCAAGAUUGUAUAGUUCAGUGACUGUUUAAUAUUGCAUAAAAAUGUAGCCCUAAAAAAUAAUAAAAAAAUAAUAAUAUACACGUAAUAUUUUUGAAAAAGGUUAGGUUUUUUUUUUGUUUAAAGACAGUUCCUCCUAUAUACAGCUGACCAACCUUUGUAAGAGCGAUUAAUUUGCUAUGAAUAACAAAUGAAUGAUAGAUUUUUACCCCGCCCCUUUCCCUCCCCAUCUCUAGCCCCAGAAAAAAAAGUUCUGGUUAAAUUAAGCGAAUGUAAAAUGCUGAGAGUAAAGAAGUCAAGUCCCCCCCCCCUUGCAGACCAGGCUGUCUAUAGGGCAGAUGAUGGCAGAUUUUGUUAUGGUCAUCUGUUUCUGAAACAAAACGUAUGCUGAGAGUGUACAGAACUCUACUGCUAGGCCUAGAGAUUCACACAAAAUGUAUGCUGAGAGGGUACAGAACUCUACUGCUAGGCCUAGAGAUUCACACAAAAUGUAUGCUGAGAGUGUACAGAACUCUACUGCUAGGCCUAGAGAUUCACACAAAAUGUAUGCUGAGAGUGUACAGAACUCUACUUCUAGGCCUAGAGAUUCACACAAAACGUAUGCUGAGAGUGUACAGAACUCUACUGCUAGGCCUAGAGAUUCACAGACUGUGCGGAAAAUGUUCCUGAGCGUCUAUUUAUUUAUUGAACUCUUUAACGAAGGCAGCGUAAAUACCCGCUAUGUCUGCUCUAGAUGAAGAUUGUCUGAAGUAGCCUAGACUCUAGACCAAUUUUAAUUUCAUAAGAGAAUAUUUCGAAAAAAUAUAAUGGUCGAUAUGUAGUUUUCCUGGUAUGGCUGAUCGCUAGUAAUUUAUUUUCUAAUAAACUGUUCAAUGUCUAGAAAAAAACUUUGGUACGUUUAUCUAGAAUCGUGAACAGUUUUUUUUUUGUAUCUCUGACCUUUUCUUUUGACCCGAUGAAGAUUUUGCAAGCUGAGAAGAGGAAUAGUAAAAAUACUUUAAAAAAAAACUUUUAAUGUAAGAUAAAGAACUUCACAAUUACUGCAACAUAUCUUAAUGAAUCAAGAAUUAUCUCCCUUUUCUAUAUAAAACAAAACUAAUUGAUUAUUAACUAAUUGGUUAAUUUU
rnacentral:sRNA from 1 species